rnacentral:lncRNA from 1 species
AGUCAGCUACCUGUUGUGGUGAAAGUGAAGUCAGGAGUGGGGAAGGGUGGGGAGGGAGAGGGGUGAGGAGGGAGAGGGGUGGAAGGGCUGCUAAACAGUCUCUGUUUCCAAGAGUUAGCAAAACACAGAUGUACUAACCUCCCUUGGGUUACUAGAUGUACUAACACUCCCUUCAUCAGAGUGAGUGGCCUCCUAGUAGAAUAGGUUGGCUAUGCCACGGAACCAUUUUUAGGAGAUGUCCAGCAAUGGGGAGAGAAUUGAAAACCCCACAAGAUUAUUCCCCCAGGAGUGAGCCAGCAUGGAUGCAUUGCCAUAUUCCAGGUAUAUCACCACUCAGGCACAGUUGAACCUACUAGACCUACUGUGGUCUGAAUGUUGUUUCCCAUUCCCUAAUGUAUGUUGAAACCCAAUAUAUAAUGUGAUCAUAUUAGGAGGUGCGGUCUCUGGAGAUGUGAUUCAGUUAUGACUCAGAUACGCCCUUAUAAAGGAGGUGAUUGAAAAGGGUUGUCUUGGCCCCUUCAGUCAUGUGAGGAACACCCACACGUCACCACCUAUUCAGCAAGGAGUGGGCCCUCACCAGGCACCAAAUCUGCUAGCACCUUGGUCUUCAAAUUCUCACCCUCCAGAACAGCGAGUGAGCAAUACAUUCUCUGCUCUUCAAGUUUCCCCGAUUAAGGUGUUUUAUUACAGACAACAGACUGGGACAAAAGGCCUGAGUCACAGACCAGUGAUUGGCAAAACAGAGAAGCUGAAGCAACUGUACAGCAAGCAGGAGCUCACACACGGGAGCCUACCUCUGGGAAUGCCGAGAAGUCAAUGCAAUGGUCACAUCUCAGGUUGUCUGGACACACAGACGGUUCACAAAUCCCGGGAUGGACCAGGAAGGCCAUUCAGUGAGAUUGUGUUGAACUGGGGAGUGGUGACAGUAAACAUUGACAUUAUGGUCCUACAUACAUAUCAUACGUUCCAUUAGUGUCCUACAUAAGUUAUAACCUGCUUACUCCUCCCAGUGCCCUUGAGAGAUCAGCCUGCUAAUUCCCACUCCAGAGUCAGGGAAGCUAAGUGCUGGGGACUCAGGAAACUUGACUGCGUUUAUAGCCAGUGAGUGGCAAAGCUGAUGUUUGAAUCCGUGUUUCGUGUUUCAGAGUCUUGGGAAGCUACGGUUUUUGUCCAUGGUGAGUCCUUGUUCUAUUCUUGACCAAACCUGGCCCAACUUUCAGGCCCUACUCCAUCACGCAGUUUCCUGUCUACAGUGUCCCCUGCUUCACUGUGUUUCAGGGGCUGAGUUGCUACACCACCCUAGAUGGUGGGCUGAGGGGCCUCUUCUGAUGAACUCCCUUCAGAAUGCAUUCCCUUCACAUCUGUUACCUCUUGCGGUGUGGGUCGCUGCUCUGUGGAAGUUGGACAGAACCCUUGGAACCUCCCGUGUGAUUCUGAAGUCUAGUGCAAACUCCAGUCAGUAAACUAAGAGAAACCAUUUUUAGUCAAAGGAAGCAAGGAACACUCCAACCAGCCCAGACUGACUUUCUUCUGUGGUUAAAAAUCUGGAUCUCCAUGUAAUUGCAACUGGGAAGAUCCUGCUGGAAGAUGUGCCAAGGUAGCCCCACAUGUUCCAAAGGGAUCGAAACUCAUUUGGAAGGGUAUGUUCUGAGAGAGAGAGAGAGAGAGAGAGAGAGAGAGAGAGAGAGAGAGAAGAAGAAGAAGAAGAAGAAGAAGAAGAAGAAGAAGAAGAAGAAGAAGAAGAAGAAGAAGAAGAAGAAGGAAGAACAACAAGAACAACAAGGAAGAAGAAGGAGAAGAAGGAGAAGGAGGAGAAGAAGGAGGAGGAGGAGGAGGAGGAAGAAGGAGAAGAGAGAGAAUUUCUUCUACUACUUCUUUAUAUUUAUGUAUUUAUUCUCUUUUGCACUUAGUGUGUAACUUGGUGCCUUACAUAAACCAUGGAAUAAUUAGGCUUUCUUCAGGAUGUAAGGAAAUUCCCUACAUCAGAGGACCUUACUAUCCAAGCUAAGGUAAGAAUGAAGUCCCAGCCGCAAGGGUGAUGGAAGGGAGACGAUGAAGAUAACAUAUGGUGGGAACAUCUCCAGGGAUGAUGGGAGAUACGGCUACAAAUGCUGCAUCCUAGGAGGAUGAAUUCUUUUCCUGUCUGCCAGUGAUCUCAGUUUUGUCAAUCAUUUCCAUGUACCCUCCCACUUCCUACAACUGCACUUAAGCCUUAGAAGAAAUAGGACAGGCAGUCUGGACAACGAGUGACACCAGGGAGUCCCUAGGUGUGUAUUUCCUUGUAUGUCUCUGUAAGUGUGGUCCCCAGCAUCCUAAUGGUUUGAUUUUGGCAGUAACUGGCUUUCUUAGGCACACCACCACUGUCGUUGUGGCAUGCUCACUAAACAUGGACUCCCUGUUCUUUGCUAAUCAAAUCUACCUGUAUACUCAGAAAUGCCACGAGUAGUCUAAGGCAGGCAUUGGCUAUGCCUACCUGUCACCUCUUUGGGAAAAAUAAAGUUUUAUUAGAACACAGGCAUGUGUAUGUUUUCCUAUUGUCUAUGGCUAUGUUCAUGCUGUGAGAGCAGAAUUGAGACUACAUGGAUACAAAAAGUAAACUAUUAAUUAAUUGGUCUUUUACGGAAAACAUUUUUAGAUCUUUGAUCCAGAGCAUCCAUAGACAUUUUAUUUCCCUAUACCAAGUCAGUGUUAGACACGUAAAUACUUUGACCAUGGAAAUAAAAGGUAAAUUUGCUGGAAAUAUCUGAGAAAAAAAUCUUUUUUCUUAAUAAGAAAGGGGAAUGUGAGAAGAGAGCUUACUUUACAUCCUGUCAUGUGAGGACUUGAUGUCUGGAGCUGUGGCAGCCAUAUUAUGAUCAUGAGGGGGAAAAAAAAACCCACACAAACCUGAUUCUCCAAUAAUAUCAUGUAACGAGGCAAAGAAACCCGAGUGAGUGUGAAUUGUAUGUCACGGGCAUGGCCACAUCAAGGACUAGUGUCUCACACUCAUGGGAAUGGCAAAGGCUUCACCUAACUUCUGGGGUGCCAUCCUCAGAGGUAUGGCAGAGCCGGCCCCCUGAUCUGAGUGUGCAUGUUGACAGUGUGUCCAAGUGCAAAUGUUUACAAAUGAUGGCCAUUUCGUCCUCCCAGAUGUUUGUAGCUGGAGCCUACUCACCUACAGAGACCUCCUACAGAGGGGCUCUGCCCUGGCCUUUUGGGAUUCAGAGCUGAGGCGGGACACAGAGUUCGACAAAGCCAGAAGACUGAUAAUCUCAGACCUAACUGUACUGGGAGCUGGGAGCUGGGAGCUGUUGGCUUCAGGAAACUUAACCCUCUCUUGUUUAUUCUAUGGCCGAAAACUGCUGACUUCUUUUCGCUUUAACUCUGUGCUCUGGAGAAACUUAACUCUUUGUGCUUAAAUAAGCACUGGGGGUCACUUAACUCUUUGUUACUAUUCUGUGCUUUAAUAAACGCUGAGCAUUCUUCAACUCUCUUA